rnacentral:rRNA from 1 species
CUGUAGCAAUACAGUGGUGGGGGAAGUGGCGAAAGGGGCAGUAAUGUGUGGGUAACCUACCCUGGGGACCGGGAUAGCUAUUCUAACGAGUAGGUAAUACCGGGCAACGUAAUUGAGGGGCAUCUCUUGAUUACCAGAUGAAUUUCGCCCUGAGAUGGGCUCACAUCGUAUUAGCUAGUUGGUGGGGUAACGGCCCACCAAGGCAAAGAUGCGUAGCGGGUGUGAGAGCACGACCCGCGCCACUGGCACUGAGACACUGGCCAGACACCUACGGGUGGCUGCAGUCGAGGAUCUUUGGCAAUGAGCGCAAGCUUGACCAAGCGACGCCGCGUGUGCGAUGAAGGCCUUCGGGUUGUAAAGCACUGUCGAGGGGGAUCAAGGGGCAACCUUGAGUGAUCCCUGGAGGAAGCACGGGCUAAGUUCGUGCCAGCAGCCGCGGUAAGACGAACCGUGCGAACGUUGUUCGGAAUCACAGGGCUUAAAGGGCGCGUAGGCGGCUUGUCAAGUCAGGGGUGAAAUCUUUCGGCUCAACCGGAAAAGUGCCUUUGAUACUGACAGGCUCGAGGGAAGUAGGGGCAUGUGGAACUUCUGGUGGAGCGGUGAAAUGCGUUGAUAUCAGAAGGAACGCCGGUGGCGAAAGCGACGUGCUGGACUUCUACUGACGCUGAGGCGCGAAAGCUAGGGGAGCAAACGGGAUUAGAUACCCCGGUAGUCCUAGCCCUAAACGAUGGGUACUAGAUUGUAGACUUAACAUGGGUUUACAGUCGAAGCAAAAGUGUUAAGUACCCCGCCUGGGGAGUAUGGUCGCAAGGCUG